rnacentral:rRNA from 1 species
UCUGACGACCAUAGCGAGUUGGCCCCACUCCUUCCCAUCCCGAACAGGACAGUGAAACGACUCCGCGCCGAUGAUAGUGUGCUUUUUGCAUGUGAAAGUAGGCCAUCGUCAGAC